rnacentral:ncRNA from 1 species
GCUUUGUUCCCCAAGAGCUCACAUCGACGGGAAGGUUUGGCACCUCAAUGUCGGCUCUUCGCCACCUGGGGCUGUAGUAUGUUCCAAGGUUUGGGUUGUUUGCCCAUUAAAGCGGUACGUGAGCUGGGUUUAGAACAUCGUGAGACAGUUC